AGGGAAAGUUGCAAAGCACUUUGAAGAGAGAGUUAAAGAGGACGUGAAACCGAUGAGAUCGAAACGGAUAGAGUCAGCGUAUCUGACCUGUAUUCAGUCACACAUCUGUCAGUCGUCAUGUGUUGAUUUCCAGACUGGGACAGUGUGUGGCUAGCUGAUUGUUGUGUGGUGCAUUUGCAGGUGGAGUGCGUCGAGACGCUCGGUGUGGCGACAUGAGCUCAGUUUUGAGGCCAGCUUGCUGGUACCCGAAUUGGAGGAAUGUUGUUCACGCUGAGUGGAAUUGGCAAGGCCUACGAGUCCGGUUGGGCAUCGAGCUGGCAGUCGGCGUCGGUCGCAUGCGACACGUGCUGUGCAGUCAGUUCGGUCCUAGUCGAGCUCACAAGCCUAUUCUCGGCGUAAAAGCUGGUCAUCUAUCCGACCCGUCUUGAAACACGGACCAAGGAGUUUAUCGUGUGCGCAAGUCAUUGGGCGUUGAAAACCCAAAGGCGCAAUGAAAGUGAACGCAUCCGCAAGGAGCUGACGUGCGAUCCCGGGUACUGCGGUGCCCGAGCGCAGCAUGGCCCCAUCCCGAUUGCUUGCAAUGGGGUGGAGGAAGAGCGUACGCGGUGAGACCCGAAAGAUGGUGAACUAUUCCUGAGCAGGAUGAAGCCAGAGGAAACUCUGGUGGAAGUCCGAAGCGAUUCUGACGUGCAAAUCGAUCGUCUGACUUGGGUAUAGGGGCGAAAGACUAAUCGAACCAUCUAGUAGCUG
rnacentral:rRNA from 1 species